GACGGGGCCGCACAAGCGGUGGAGCAUGUGGUUAAUUCGAAGCAACGCGAAGAACCUUACCAGGUCUUGACAUCCCGAUGCUAUUUCUAGAGAUAGAAAGUUACUUCGGUACAUCGGUGACAGGUGGUGCAUGGUUGUCGUCAGCUCGUGUCGUGAGAUGUUGGGUUAAGUCCCGCAACGAGCGCAACCCCUAUUGUUAGUUGCCAUCAUUCAGUUGGGCACUCUAGCGAGACUGCCGGUAAUAAACCGGAGGAAGGUGGGGAUGACGUCAAAUCAUCAUGCCCCUUAUGACCUGGGCUACACACGUGCUACAAUGGUUGGUACAACGAGUUGCGAGUCGGUGACGGCGAGCUAAUCUCUUAAAGCCAAUCUCAGUUCGGAUUGUAGGCUGCAACUCGCCUACAUGAAGUCGGAAUCGCUAGUAAUCGCGGAUCAGCACGCCGCGGUGAAUACCGGUUCCCGGGCCUU
rnacentral:rRNA from 1 species